CAGUAGCCACGGUAAUACGAAGGGUGCAAGCGUUACUCGGAAUUACUGGGCGUAAAGCGUGCGUAGGUGGUGGUUUAAGUCCGUUGUGAGAGCCCUGGGCUCAACCUGGGAAUUGCAGUGGAUACUGGGUCACUAGAGUGUGGUAGAGGAUAGUGGAAUUUCCGGUGUAGCAGUGAAAUGCGUAGAGAUCGGAAGGAACAUCUGUGGCGAAGGCGACUAUCUGGGCCAACACUGACACUGAGGCACGAAAGCGUGGGGAGCAAUCAGGAUUAGAUACCCCCGUAGUCCCUGUCUCUUAUAC
rnacentral:rRNA from 1 species